UCUCCGUUGGUGAACCAGCGGAGGGAUCAUUACUGGAAUCGCAAGAUCCCACAACCCUGUGAACCUACCGAAACGUUGCCUCGGCGGGUGCCCGGCCUCUGCGCCGGGGGCUGCGCCCGCCGGCGGCCCCCUACUCUGUCUCUGCAGCGUAGCAUCUCAGAGUCCCAGAAAACAAGUCAAAACUUUCAACAACGGAUCUCUUGGCUCUA
rnacentral:misc_RNA from 1 species